GCGGUUGCUGGGGCCCGCCAUCGCCUGAGCUCUGUUCCACUGGUUUGGAACAGGUGACCAGUCCUGGAUCUCCCUCAGCCUGGGGGUGAGACCCACCUCCCAAGCUUUUAGUGCCCUGGGCCAGCCUUCUGCCUUCUGAGAAACCCCUCCUCUCCUUUCUCCUCAUCAACAUCAGCAAGGAAAGAUGUGGGGAGGCAAGACUUGGUGCGAGCUAACGAAGCAGUUUUUAAGUGGGAGCCGCCCAGCAAUCAAGUAACUUCCUUUUGCACAGCGUUUUGGAGAGCUUUCAACUGGGUGGAAUCCUCGCACAAACCUCAGAGAGCUUCAGAGAGGUUUUGGUUCUUACCUCAUGAAGAAAAUGAGACCCAGAGAAGAGAAGGCUUCUUUAGGCCACACAGUGAAUUUGUCACUGCCAGAGUGAGGACUCAGGCCUCUUCAUGACUGGCUUGGUGACCUUCCCUCUACACCGUGAAUCUGGAAGCUAUUUCAGACUUUGAGUCUGUCUGUGCGUGCAUCAGCAGAAAUCAAGUGUACCACAUGGGGGUACGGAGGAAGAGAAGCGAGGUGGGGCCUUGUGCCUUUGGUAUGGGCCCCUGCCCUCAGGCAUGAUCCAGGGACCACGCAGCAGGGACAGGGAAGGUCUUGAGGCAGUAAUGUGAUGCCUGUCCCAGCCACCUGUCUACAUGCUGGGGUGGAAGGUAUAUUUUUCAGCCUCUUCCUCACCUCCUACUCCCUGACAGUUGAUUUAAGUCCCCAAACCAGGCAGUGAUAUUCAGCACUUGCCAAGCCAGUUCCUUUUCCAAGUUUGUGUUGGCACUCAAGUUGAAAAGCUAUUCCUUUAUUUCCUCCUGUCUCCCACCAAAAAUAAAUAAAAGGGCCCGGCUGGCGUGGGGCUCCUGCAGAAGCAUGGUGGGUUUGCUGACACUGAACUUACCACGAGAACGCUGGCCCCAGAGUGGUAUGAGGAGUAUUAUUCUAUAAAUGGAAAAUUCCACUCUGUUCUUGCAGCCCUGCAGCCUGCGUACUUUCAAGGUAUGCGGGCUUUUCAAGCUCUGAAGACUGUGAGCUACUAUUCUGAGAAAAACCUCUGCGAGCAAGUUUAAAGCCACCAGCGGCUGGGGCCAGCCCCUCUUGGUCAGACCAGAGAGAAUGGCAACUAGGAGAGGCUUUCUUUCCUCUCUCAUGUGGAUUUUUUAGCCCUUGUGGAUUUGCAGGGAAAUAAACGCUUUUAAGUGAA